UACGUAGGGUGCGAGCGUUAAUCGGAAUUACUGGGCGUAAAGCGUGCGCAGGCGGUUUUGUAAGCCAGAUGUGAAAUCCCCGGGCUUAACCUGGGAAUGGCAUUUGGGACUGCAAGGCUCGAGUGCGGCAGAGGAGACUGGAAUUCCUGGUGUAGCAGUGAAAUGCGUAGAUAACAGGAGGAACACCGAUGGCGAAGGCAGGUCUCUGGGCUGACACUGACGCUCAUGCACGAAAGCGUGGGGAGCAAACAGG
rnacentral:rRNA from 1 species